rnacentral:rRNA from 1 species
AGAGUUUGAUCCUGGCUCAGGACGAACGCUGGCGGCGUGCCUAACACAUGCAAGUCGAGCGAUGAAGCUCUUCGGGAAGUGGAUUAGCGGCGGACGGGUGAGUAACACGUGGGUAACCUACCUCAAAGAGUGGGAUAGCCUCCCGAAAGGGAGAUUAAUACCGCAUAACAUUAUUUUACGGCAUCGUAGAAUAAUCAAAGGAGCAAUCCGCUUUGAGAUGGACCCGCGGCGCAUUAGCUAGUUGGUGAGGUAACGGCUCACCAAGGCAACGAUGCGUAGCCGACCUGAGAGGGUGAUCGGCCACAUUGGAACUGAGACACGGUCCAGACUCCUACGGGAGGCAGCAGUGGGGAAUAUUGCGCAAUGGGGGAAACCCUGACGCAGCAACGCCGCGUGAGUGAUGAAGGUUUUCGGAUCGUAAAACUCUGUCAUUAGGGACGAUAAUGACGGUACCUAAUGAGGAAGCCACGGCUAACUACGUG